rnacentral:rRNA from 1 species
CACAAGCGGUGGAGCAUGUGGUUUAAUUCGUAUGAUACGCGAGGAACCUUACCUGGGCUCAAAUGUAUGUUGACGUAUUCUGAAAGGGAUACUUCUUCGGACAAUAUACAAGGUGCUGCAUGGUUGUCGUCAGCUCGUGCCGUGAGGUGUCGGGUUAAGUCCCAUAACGAGCGCAACCCCUACCUUUAGUUGCCAUCAGGUUAAGCUGGGGACUCUAAAGGAACUGCCUACGCAAGUAGUGAGGAAGGCGGGGAUGACGUCAAAUCAGCACGGCCCUUACGUCCAGGGCUACACACGUGCUACAAUGGCCGAUACAGAGGGCAGCUACCUGGUGACAGGAUGCAAAUCUCCAAAGUCGGUCUCAGUUCGGAUCGGAGUCUGCAACCCGACUCCGUGAAGUUGGAUUCGCUAGUAAUCGCGCAUCAGCCAUGGCGCGGUGAAUACGUUCCCGGGCCUU